CGAGAUCAGCCUCGGUCUCGUGGGCUCGGAGAUGUGUAUAAGAGACAGCCUUUUGUAUAAUGGGUCAUCGACUUGGUCUCACAAGCAAGCUUAAGCCGUUAGGUGUAGGCGCAGCGAAAGCGAGUCUUAAUAGGGCGUUGAGUUUGUGGGAUCAGACCCGAAACCGAGUGAUCUAGGCAUGGCCAGGUUGAAGGUGCGGUAACACGCACUGGAGGACCGAACCCACAUCCGUUGAAAAGGAUCGGGAUGAGCUGUGCCUAGGGGUGAAAGGCCAAUCAAACUCGGAGAUAGCUGGUUCUCUGCGAAAUCUAUUUAGGUAGAGCGUCAUCCGAAUACCCUCGGGGGUAGAGCACUGGAUGGGUAAUGGGGCCCCACAGGCUUACUGAUCCUAACCAAACUCCGAAUACCGAGGAGUACUAGAUGGCAGACACACAGCGGAUGCUAACGUCCGUUGUGAAGAGGGAAACAACCCUGACCUACAGCUAAGGCCCCUAAUUCAUGGCUAAGUGGGAAAGCAGGUGAGACGACCAAAACAACCAGGAGGUUGGCUUAGAAGCAGCCAUCCUUUAAAGAUAGCGUAACAGCUCACUGGUCUAAAUAAGUUGUCUUGCGGCGAAGAUGUAACGGGGCUCAAGCCAUGAGCCGAAGCUUAGGAUGCAUUUAUUGCAUGGUAGCAGAGCGUAGUGUGACAUAGUUCCAUGUCUCCUUAGCCCUUCGGGGUAUUGGAGACGCGGAACUUUCUGUGAAGCGGGCCUGUGAGGGAUCCCGUGGAGAGAUCACUAGUGAGAAUGAUGACAUGAGUAGCGACAAAGAGUGUGAGAGACACUCUCGCCGAAAGUCCAAGGGUUCCUGCUUAAAGCUAAUCUGAGCAGGGUAAGCCGACCCCUAAGGCGAGGCCGAAAGGCGUAGUCGAUGGGAACCAGGUUAAUAUUCCUGGGCCAGAUGGAAGUGACGGAUCUCGAGGGUAGUUCAUCCUUAUCGGAUUGAAUGGGCUGCUUAGAGGUCCCUGGAAAUAGCUCCAUCGCUAGAUCGUACCCUAAACCGACACAGGUGGACUGGUAGAGAAUACCAAGGCGCUUGAGAGAACGAUGUUGAAGGAACUCGGCAAAAUACCUCCGUAAGUUCGCGAGAAGGAGGCCCGGUUCCAAGGCAACUUGGAGCUGGGGGCACAAACCAGGGGGUGGCGACUGUUUACUAAAAACACAGGGCUCUGCGAAGUCGCAAGACGACGUAUAGGGUCUGACGCCUGCCCGGUGCCUGAAGGUUAAAAGGAGGGGUGAGAGCUCUGAAUUGAAGCCCAGGUAAACGGCGGCCGUAACUAUAACGGUCCUAAGGUAGCGAAAUUCCUUGUCGGG
rnacentral:rRNA from 1 species